rnacentral:rRNA from 1 species
AUGCUUGAGACCAGGCCGGUGCUCCAGGGCGCCGUGGUGGAGCUGUACAGGUCACUGCCGGACAAGAGCACCAUGGUCGUCGCCGACCUAGGCUGCUCGUCAGGGCCGAACACGCUGCUGCUUGUGUCGGAGGUCAUCGGUACAAUCUCCGACCACAACCGGGAAGAAGAGCAGGAGCAGCGCCCUCCUGCCGCAGCCAUGGAGUUGCAGUUCUUCCUCAACGACCUGCCGGGGAACGACUUCAACCUCGUGUUCAGGUCGCUGGAUCGGCUGCAGGAGCUCACCGCCGAUAGGAGGCCGCAAUACUACGUGGCCGGGAUGCCGGGUUCUUUCUACACCAGGCUGUUCGCAUGCCGGAGUGUCCACCUCUUCCAUUCCUCCUACUCCCUCAUGUGGAGGUCCAAGGUGCGUGCGUACAAACCAGUUCGAGGCAUUGUUUGA